rnacentral:rRNA from 1 species
UACGUAGGGGGCUAGCGUUAUCCGGAAUUACUGGGCGUAAAGGGUGCGUAGGUGGUUUCUCAAGUCAGAGGUGAAAGGCUACGGCUCAACCGUAGUAAGCCUUUGAAACUGGGAAACUUGAGUGCAGGAGAGGAGAGUGGAAUUCCUAGUGUAGCGGUGAAAUGCGUAGAUAUUAGGAGGAACACCAGUUGCGAAGGCGGCUCUCUGGACUGUAACUGACACUAAGGCACGAAAGCGUGGGGAGCAAACAGGAUUAGAUACCCGCGUAGUCCCUGAG